AACGAACGCUGGCGGCAGGCUUAACACAUGCAAGUCGAACGCCCCGCAAGGGGAGUGGCAGACGGGUGAGUAACGCGUGGGAAUCUACCGUGCCCUGCGGAAUAGCUCCGGGAAACUGGAAUUAAUACCGCGUACGCCCUACGGGGGAAAGAUUUAUCGGGGUAUGAUGAGCCCGCGUUGGAUUAGCUAGUUGGUGGGGU
rnacentral:rRNA from 1 species